GAGAGAGAGAGGAAGAAGAAAGGAGAAAGAGAGGGAGUUAGGCUCGGAUCUAGGAGUCUUUGUGACCGUUGCGAGCUCGGCUACACGAUAGAAAAUUGUUGGUGGAACUUAUUGAGAAGUAAGGAACAAGCCGAGCCCUAUUUUGUACAAGGGGAACCCUUUUAGUACCAAAGGGUUGAGGUCCAGGCGAAGGAUCCAGUGGUGGACGGGGAAAAGAGCAAAGCUAGGGGUUUGCUUGUGAUUUGUAAAGAACUGCAACCCCUUUCUUUUGAGCAAAUAUAUUGUAAUGUAUUUAAGAUUAGGGUGCCAGUAGGAUAUGAUUGUGUGUGUGUGUGUGAAUAUGUGUGGAUUGUGUGCUUGUGUAUGAAUUUUUGUCUGUUUGCAGACUUGUG